GACGAACGCUGGCGGCGUGCCUAAUACAUGCAAGUCGAACGCAGUGGGGACGGGUGAGUAACACGUGGGUAACCUCCCAUCAGAGGGGAUAACACUUGGAAACAGGUGCUAAACCGAUACUGAUGGAUGGACCCGCGGUGCAUUAGCUAGUUGGUGAGGUAACGGCUCACCAAGGCCACGAGGCAUAGCCGACCUUGGAGGGGGACCGUCCACACUGGGACGGAGACACGGCCCAGACUCCUACGGGAGGCAGAAGUGGGGAAUCUUGGGCAAUGGACGAAAGUCUGACCGAGCAACGCCGCGUGAGUGAAGAAGGUUUUCGGGUCGUAAAACUCUGUUGUCAGAGAAGCGGUAUCUAACCAGAAAGCAACGGCUAACUACGUGCCAGCAGCCGCGGUAAUAC
rnacentral:rRNA from 1 species